rnacentral:lncRNA from 1 species
ACAUUGGCCUUGCCCGGGUGAUACCUGAUAGAGCACUCGUAAUCAUUCAGCAGCUCGACCCAUCGUCGCUGCCGCAUAUUCAGUUCCUUCUGUUUGAAUAUGUGUUCUAAACUUCUGUGGUAAUGCCGCCAUAACUUAAGUGCGAAAACAACCGCUCCCAGCUCUAAAUCAUGUGUCGUGUAGUUCUUCUCGUGAACUUUAAGUUGUCGUGAGGCGUAAGCUAUGACUUUAUCUCGUUGCAUCAAUACACAACCAAGACCUUGAAUUGAUGCAUCACAGUAAACCACAAAAUCAUCUGUGCCCUCUGGCAGUGAAAGGAUAGGUGCACUACAAAGUCUAUCCUUUAGAUGUUGAAAAGCUAACUCUUGUGCAUUUCCCCAAUGAUAAACAACGCCUUUCUGCGUUAGUAAGGUGAGAGGCUGCGCGAUCUUAGAAAAAUCCUUAAUGAAUCUCCUGUAGUAACCUGCCAAUCCCAAAAUUGGCGAAUUUCCUUUGGUGUGCGAGGCGCAGGCCAGUUCUUAAUAGAUCCACUUUGGAUGGAUCAACGUGAAUCC